UACGUAGGGGGCAAGCGUUGUCCGGAUUUAUUGGGCGUAAAGAGCGUGUAGGCGGCCAGGUAGGUCCGGUGUGAAAACUCGAGGCUCAACCUCGAGACGUCGAUGGAAACCAUCUGGCUAGAGUCCGGAAGAGGAGAGUGGAAUUCCUGGUGUAGCGGUGAAAUGCGUAGAUAUCUGGAGGAACAUCGGUGGCGAAGGCGGCAGCCUGGACCGGUAUUGACGCUGAGGCGCGAAAGCCAGGGGAGCAAACGGG
rnacentral:rRNA from 1 species